UACGAAGGGGGGCUAGCGUUGCUCGGAAUCACUGGGCGUAAAGGGUGCGUAGGCGGCGCGGUAAGUCGGGUGUGAAAUCUCGGAGCUUAACUCCGAAACUGCAUUCGAUACUGCCGUGCUUGAGGACUGGAGAGGAGACUGGAAUUUACGGUGUAGCGGUGAAAUGCGUAGAUAUCGUAAGGAACACCAGUGGCGAAGGCGACUUACUGGACUGUAACUGACGCUGAGGCAUGAAAGCGUGGGGAGCAAACAGG
rnacentral:rRNA from 1 species